CAGCUUCAGCAGUUCAUAUACUAAAAUUGGAAGAAUACAAGAUUACCGUGGUCCUUGCACAAGAAUGACAUGCAAACUUGUGGAGCACACCAUAUUUUG
ensembl:snRNA U6 U6 spliceosomal RNA